GGUCGCGUAGCGCAAUGGUAGCGCGUUGGUUUUCGGUUAUCACCAAAGGUUGUGGAUUCGAGUCCCACCGCGAUCG